AUAUGUCACUAAGUGUUCAACAUGAUGCUUACAGAUCAUUUCCCAUGGCGUGGUUUCCUGCACAUUUCAAUUCUUCGUUGGUAUUUCAACAAACACUAUCAGCUACCGCAUAGGAAGCCAUUUGUUCACUCGUAAAGUCUCCAGGGUAAUAAUGAGCCAGACAUUGAUCGAUAGAUCAAUCCAUAUUACUUUCAAUCAUAUAUAUGUAUGUAAGUCCAAUUUCGUUGAAAGUAUUUUUUCAUAAUAAGUAUUUUAAUUGCAGAAUAUGUGUUCUUUUAAUCUUUGGCUAAAUUUGACAACAAUAGCCCCCCCCCAUGGUUCCUAGUAUGGUGAUCUACCCUUAGUUGUUGGCGAUCUAUAACCCGUUUUUAUAUUGUGUUGUCCCAAAUUUGUGUAUAAUUUUAAUAUUAGUUUAAAUAUUUCAAAUUGUGAUAUUCAAGUCGUUUUACUGUCCUUUGUCGACAGACAUUAUAUUUAAAUAUCAACUAUUGUUAACGUGUCACCUGUUUUAGUCUACCAUUAUGAAUUUUGAAUUUCAUGAAUUAUGAUUUGAUAAUAAACAAGUUGUCUACAUAAGCUGUCAUUAUGUCAAGACAGUAUAACAUCUUAACUGUCAAGGGCGUAAGGCGACUAAUCGGAACAGCCACUUGGACAUGCAAAUGUGCAUGGAGUCACUAUCAGUGACGGACAAAAGGGGUCAUCUCAAAAUCAGAUACAUCACAUUAUCAGAUGGUGCCUCGCCAUUUAACAUGAAGCAAAAAGGAAUACAAGGUAGUAUCAGCGAUCAUGUUGAUUUUUUUCAAAUGCCAUUAAUCAGAACUGAUAAGUAAUGGUCAUUCGCUUGAAAAGCAUAGAAAUUGGCAAGGAAGGCAAAACGUUGGAUUUAUAAUGCAUUGAAACAGAAAUGAUAGCAAAUGUUGAUUGCUGUCAAGGUAUGAAUGAUACUGUCAGAAUCUGAUUCAUUCUGAUUCAUCCAUAGGACAUGUGUCAUGCCGUCAGUUCAGUAAAGGAGAAAACAUGACACUUCUCUACGGACGUGCUUCCCAUCACCAGUAUUCCCUUCUGCAUCUGAGACGUGAACGUUAAUGUUCCGUCGUAAAAAUUGCUCGUGGGACUGAGCGUCUUUCACAGAUGCCGUAGAUGCAUAGAUGUCUAUUCGUGCAGCUACAUCUGUUGCCAGAUGCGGUACCGGCUGUAAGGGUUGCUGGCUGGAACCUGUUUCACACGUGCGUUGUUGAAACUUGAUGUAGUGUCAUGACUCGUGGUCGGGCACUGACGGUCUAUAAUUUGAUUGUUUUGCUGAAACCGAGACCAUAUGCGCCAAAUGGUGUUUCCAUAUGGUUGAAAGGAGCAUAAUCAUGCUGCUAAUGGAAAAGAAGUAUUCGGCACUUAUUUAGACUGCGUUCAGAUGUAAAGUAAUUUAUAAUGUCGCAUUCAAUAGAAAUAACCCACAAUAAUUCCCAUUAGGUAUAAUGCCUCAGAUGUUGAUUGAUCAAUCAGUCUAAUUGUCAACUAUCCAUUAACGGCUGAUUGCAACUUCGGACAAUUGGUUCCGUUUGUCGUGAUGUUUGAUUAUGGGGACUGAUAUACUCCCAAUAUCCAUUUCAACGUUUUGUGGACCUAAUGUGCAUUCGGCGUUCUGUGGUGACUGGAGUAACACAUGGAGACAGUUACUUCAAACACUGUAAACGGAACCAUCAGAUGGUAUAACUUACAAAGAGACACAACGAACAUUUAGUAUCCAGUCUGUGAAAGAUGUUUAAGGUUUCCCCAGACAACGUUGGUUCAUCCAGUCAAACAGAUGAUGUACAGGACACACUGACAAGUAUCCAGAAACUGAUAGCAUUGUCCGGCUUAUCAUGGGACUAUCAGCAGUCAAAGUCAGCCAAAUGGUGCAACGUCUCGGUAGUAGCUUCCAGGAUAUAUUCAAGUUUGGUUUUCAUACUUCUUUCUCUGAAUUUUAUCCAGAUGAUACCAUACUAUACGAAAGCAGGAUCAUUCUCGGAAACAAGUCUCACCAUAUCAAAUAGCAUCGCACUUUUUUUAUUUCUAACCUAUUGGGCUCUCAGUACCAACAUCCACAGCAAGGUUCGUACAUUCCACGAACGUCUCCGUGAAACAAGGAUGAAGUUUAACAGUUGUGUUCCAGCAACUAGGUUGAGUCAGAGAAUGAAGAUGGCGUGUGUAUGUAUGCUGGUCUUCGCAGCAUGUGCCUGUGUUUCCAGUGGCGUAGCCCAGGGCACGAUGGGUGACACAUCGAGUGACUGGUAUUGGCCUUUGCUUGUAUUAUCGUCGAUAGUUGGUGGCUGUACCUGUCUGCUAAACAAUUCGUUAUUGCUUCUGUUUUUGUCCAUCUCACUUCUCCUUACUUAUGAGUAUGAUAAUUGCACAUUGAGACUGUCAAGGGCUAAUAAAGGAUCUGUCGAAGAAGAAGAUAUUGAGGACAUUCGAGGGUAUCAUGCAUCUUUAACAGAUCUAGUUGAACAUGUGUGUACCCUCAUGUCCAGACACGUCGCUGCUGGGUACGUCAGCUCCUUCCUCAUUGUGUGUUUCUGCCUGUACAGCGGCAUCAACAACGAGAAAUCCAUUGCCAACAUUGGUAUAGUUGCAGCUGCUCUGUAUAUAUCUAUAUUGCAUCUCAUCGCCCUCACAUAUAUUGGUGUCAGACUACACGAAGCGGUAAGUGUUAAAUUUCAUUUUUGCCCAAAUAAAAUCAUGUUUUCAGAUCUAAGCAGAAAUUAUUCGUAUGAUUGAGUAUGAUUGUACUUUAAUGUACAAUUUAGGUUAACAAUGUUCCCAAUUCAGUAGUUGAAUUAUCUAUUCAUAUUUAAAUGACGACACCAAUAACAGCUUUUUGUUUUCGUUAUAGACACUGUGCAACUGAAUGAAAUCAUACGAUUUCCUAUGUAGCUACUAAUGGGGGCACACCGACCUCUGAAUCUUCUCCUGGACAUGACUGGGGAAAAUAUGCCUGAUAGAGUUAUUGGACUGAUGCAGGUCACACUGUUCGCCAACAAGUUGUCUCAACGUCAGAUCGGAAUCAGCGCUUUAGGCCUCAUGACCAUCACGAAGGACACUAUCCUAACGAUCAUCGGCACCCUCCUCACCUACGUUUUCAUUGUGGUACAGUUUAAGCCGGACUCAACGGCUGGAAUUCAACACAAUGGAAACGCUACGACAGCAUAACUUGACCAACUCGUAUUUGAUUUGAAGUUCAUUCUUUUUGUAUUCAUGGUCAUUUUGUUUAAGGUUGUAAUGUGUUGACUUUGUUGCUAUGGAAACAUAGAAUAUUGUUGCGAGGGGACGUUUCCAAACCUUUUGAGAUUGAUUGAUUUAGAUAGAGAAAACUAUUUGAAUCGAUCACGGACAAUGUGUAACUUGGCUUUCUCACAUCUAUGCAGUAUACCUGUAUUUGAUUUGAACUCA